rnacentral:rRNA from 1 species
CGUGCAGGCGGGUUGGUAAGUCAGAUGUGAAAGCCCUGGGCUCAACCCAGGAAGUGCAUUUGAAACUGCCAUCCUUGAGUAUGGGAGAGGAGAGUGGAAUUCCCAAUGUAGAGGUGAAAUUCGUAGAUAUUGGGAGGAACACCGUGGCGAAGGCGACUCUCUGGACCAAUACUGACGCUGAGACGCGAAAGCGGUGGGGAGCAAACA